CUCGGCAGCAUUCCUUGGCAACCCAUCAAAGAUUGUUGUUGUUUGUUAUUAUAUAAAAAAACGCACAAAAUGCUGAAAGGAUAUCAAAGAAAUAAACUAGCAUUUAAUAGUGUUCUUUUUUUAAAAUUUCGGUAAAUUAUAUUUACUACUCAUUGAGGGAUUACGCGUUAACUUUGGUUGCUGCAAGCAGCACGUUGUGAAAGACAAAAAACAGUCCAGUAGAAUAUAUAAAACGGCUUCCUCUACGCCUAUAUGUUGGACAACUACUCGUGAAUUACUCCAAUGUACAUAAAGAACUAAACGAGGCAAAGAUGUUCGAAAACAAAAAAUUAUGUAUGUACGUAUGUAUGUAUGUAUGUAUGUACAUAUGUGAGCAUACAUAUAAGUAGUUAAUUGAAGGACAAAUUUGGUAUAGUGACCGGCGGGAGGAAAAACAGCGCAUUCUAAGUCGUGUUAUAAAAUGAAUCUGUGUAAAA